CCUUGAAGUGUGGGACUGCAGGUCCCUGGGGUCCGAUUGCAGAGAAUCUCCAACCAGCAGAUGAGCAUUCAGACAGACCUGAGGCUGUGUCCUCUGAUUUCUGAUUGUCCUCCAGCACUGUCACCCCCACCUCCACUUCCCACCCCUCCCAGGGGAAGGUAGCUGCAGACCCUAUGCCACGUAGCUUGAAGAAAGGAAAAGAGGAGUGUUAGCGGGAGACAUUUUCCCCCCAUUUUCUCCUAUUCUGUUUCCAUCAGUUGAUCAGACUCCCCAGGA